AAAGUUUGAUCCUGGCACAGGAUUAACGCUGGCUUUCGUGCUUGGGACAUGCAAGUCGAGCGGACAGAAGGGAGCUUGCUCCCGGAUGUUAGCGGCGGACGGGUGAGUAACACGUGGGUAACCUGCCUGUAAGACUGGGAUAACUCCGGGAAACCGGAGCUAAUACCGGAUAGUUCCUUGAACCGCAUGGUUCAAGGAUGAAAGACGGUUUCGGCUGUCACUUACAGAUGGACCCGCGGCGCAUUAGCUAGUUGGUGGGGUAAUGGCUCACCAAGGCGACGAUGCGUAGCCGACCUGAGAGGGUGAUCGGCCACACUGGGACUGAGACACGGCCCAGACUCCUACGGGAGGCAGCAGUAGGGAAUCUUCCGCAAUGGACGAAAGUCUGACGGAGCAACGCCGCGUGAGUGAUGAAGGUUUUCGGAUCGUAAAGCUCUGUUGUUAGGGAAGAACAAGUGCGAGAGUAACUGCUCGCACCUGACGGUACCUACCAGAAAG
rnacentral:rRNA from 1 species